GCCCAAUAUCCUUUCCUUCAUGUUCUCGUCUAAGCCCUCCUCCUCCAGAAACUUCUCAACAACUUUGGUGUCCUCAGUACCAUCCUUGGUGUACUUGUAAUCUCCAAUAUCGUGAAGAAGAGCAGCAAGUUCCACAAUUUCUAGCCUGUGCUCCUCAAGGCCCUCCUCCUUGGCGAGGGAAAGGGCGAGGUCCCGGACCCUGAAGGCGUGGGCGGCGUCGU
rnacentral:misc_RNA from 1 species